rnacentral:rRNA from 1 species
GAUGAACGCUAGCGGGAGGCUUAAUACAUGCAAGUCGAGGGGUAACAGGGGCUUCGGCCCGCUGACGACCGGCGCACGGGUGAGUAACGCGUACGCAACUUACCUCCAAGCGAGGAUAGCCCUGGGAAACUGGGAUUAAUACCUCAUGUGAUUAUGAUGCCGCAUGGUGUUAUAAUUAAAGUUCAGGCGCUUGGAGAUGGGCGUGCGUCCUAUUAGCUAGUUGGUGAGGUAACGGCUCACCAAGGCGACGAUAGGUAGGGGGCUGAGAGCGUGGCCCCCCAACGGGUACUGAGACACGGACCCGACUCCUACGGGAGGCAGG